rnacentral:rRNA from 1 species
AGAUAGAGGAGUGCUCGAAAGAGAGCCGUAACACAGGUGCUGCAUGGCUGUCGUCAGCUCGUGUCGUGAGAUGUUGGGUUUAAGUCCCGCAACGAGCGCAACCCUUGUCAUUAGUUGCUACGAAAGGGCACUCUAAUGAGACUGCCGGUGACAAACCGGAGGAAGGUGGGGAUGACGUCAAGUCAUCAUGGCCCCUAUGUCCAGGGCUACACACGUGCUACAAUGGGCGAUACAGAGUGACGCGAAGCCGCGAGGUGGAGCAAAUCGCAGAAAAUCGCUCUCAGUUCGGAUUGGAGUCUGAAACCCGACUCCAUGAAGGUGGAAUCGCUAGUAAUCGCGCAUCAGCAUGGCGCGGUGAAUACGUUCCCGGGCCUU